UGUCAAAGUUAGGUCUUGAUCCUUGGACGUGUGGGUUGUGGGCCAACCAUGCUACCACGAUGCCACUUUGAU
rnacentral:tRNA from 1 species